AUUUAAAUAGUUUAAAUUAAAACAUUGAUUUGUGGUGUCAAAAAUAUAUUUUUAUAAUAUUUUAAAUU
rnacentral:tRNA from 1 species